CACAAAGCUGACAGUUUCAGCUUUUAUACUGACCAUUGUAAUGGGAAUGAGGUUCAAGAGGUCCAAGAAACUAAUUCCAGGUGGACUAAUAGCUGGUUUAAGGAAUCUCUGCUUUAGUCAAAUAUCCAGAGAAACAUGCUGCUGCCUAAGGAAACUCCAGCGGGGUAAUUAGUCCUUGAGGAGCAGAAUCUUGACAGAAAACAGCAGCUGGUACAGUCUGUGCCUGGUGUAGAACCUGGGUGAAGCAGCAACCUCCUGUGGGCCCUUGCACUCAUCAUUUCAAGGCUGGUUAGGAAGCAGAGGAGCAGCAACAGCAGCACCACUAGAAGAUUGGGAAUCAAGUGCACAUUGUAUGCUAAGAAAACCCCUGGACUGUGGGGUUAGAGUCCAUCAGAACCAACCCUCUUGCAGAAUUAGGUCUAACAGCAUUUGUAAAGAGCCCAUCACUGUGCUAGCCAACUUCUGGAUGCCAAUGUGAACAACUGAAUAUUACUAGUCACUCUACACUAUAUAAACGAGCAAACAUAUCUCUGUGAAAGCAUCUGUCCUGAAUAAUUAACAGGUCCCUGCCCUUACAAAUACAAGGCCAAGUACAAUGUAAACACAUCUUAUGCUUUUGGCUCUCUUAAGUCACCCUAGAAGAAACAAAGAUACAAAAUCUUUAAAAGUAGGUAAUACAAUUGGAACAUGCAACCAUUUAACCUCACAGCAUAGAUCCUGUGGGGGCAUCAGUGCAGACUUGUAGGAACUUUGAUUAAACUAGUUACUAGUUGAAGUUACUCUGAAUGAACUUAAAAGUAGCCACUGAAAGAUUAAAACAACAAUGCAUCACCAGGUGAAGAUCAAAUUAGAGCAGAGCUAUUUACGGCAUGCGGAGAGGUCACCAUGAAAAUCCUGCUAUGCCUCUUACAUUUGGUAUGGGAGAAAGAACACCCUUCCCCCCCCCAGAAGAAUGGAAGAGGAGGAUUAUAAUCAAACUCCCCAAAAAUGGAGAUUUGAGUGAUGGUAAUAACUGGCACGGGACUGGGUGCCUUCAGCCCCAGAGAAAGUAUUCUGUGCAAUCACCCAAAUAGAGCAGCUAUACAUAGCAAACUUAGAGAACAAUCUGGUUUUCACUUAAAUCAAUUUUGCAUUGACUGAAUCUUCAUCCUGAGAAAUACUGUAGAGCAAAGCAAUGAAUGGCAACUGCCAGUGACCUUGAUUUUGUAGAUUUCCAAAAAAAACAUUGGAUUGUGCAGCUAGAGAACCAUCAUAGUAAAUAGUAUGAAUCUAUGGAGUCUCCAACAAAAGCAUCCAAAUUAUUAAAAACCUGCAUCAAAACAGUGUGAAGCAAAGAUAAACCAGGAGCUAACAGACUGGUUUAAUGUUAACAUUGGUGUCAGACAAAGUAAUAUCUUGUCCCUCAUCUUGUUUGGAGUUGCUAUUGAAUUUAAGUGACAGAUUGUCAGUAUGAAAAUGAGCACUGCAUGGAUAAAUGGCAAGCUUGGAGAUUUAGACUUUGCAGAUGACAUCUGUCUUCUAAAUAAGACAGCUGAAGAUAGCCAGACAAAGACAGAUGGUCUUGCAAGUUCUGCCAAGCAAACAGGUCUUAUCUCUAAAUCAAAGAUGGAAGUUAUAAAAAUUAAUUUACCUACAAUGAUUUUCUGUACUUGAAAGGUGAAGCCUUGAAAACAGUGAAUAAGUUUACUAAUCUAGGCAGCAUCAAUCCCAGUACUGGUGAUGUUUGAAAUAGAAUCCAGAAAAGGUUAAGCAAGUGUUGUAUUUAAAAGUCUCAAAUCCAAUGUGGUUAGCAAAACAAACUUAAGUUCUUUAAAAGCAACAUCCUAAGCAUCCUCCUAUAUGAAGAAGAGUCCAGCCAAUGCAAACUGAAUAUCUUUCAGUGCAAAUGUAUAUGUAACAUAUUCAAAGUAAAAUGGACUAAGAAGAAGUAAUGAAGAGAUCCUAGAAUGGGCACAACUAGCUACAACAAUACAAGCAGUAAGGAAGAAGAGCUGGACUUAUUUGGGAAACCUUGCCCAAUAGGAGGUUACCUAAACAAGCACUAUUUGGCAACCCCAGGCAAGAGUGAGAGAGGCCAACCUAGAAACACACUCUGUAGCACCAUAAUGGCUGAAGUGGCAUUAUUACAGCUCAAUAAAAAAGACCUGGAAAAAUGAACCCAGGACGGGGAUGAUUGGCGCUGUUUGACUUCGAACUUAUGCAGCUGAUGACUGAAUUUCUUGCAUAUUGCAAACAUUGAUUUUGCUUGUGCAAUCUGAGGUUCUGCUGAGGAGACAUCAUGUGAAUUACUGCGUAAUUGAGGUUUUGCAUUCUUACUGACAAAUCCACCGUUGGGCAUUUCUGCUUUAUGUGUGACAUUUCCUGUACAACUCUCUUCCAGUCAACUCUCCAUGAACUGCUGCUGUGUGCAUAUUUUGUAUGGUACCCAAAGAUUUUAGAAAAGGUUGCAUAUUUGUGUAUAGCUCAAAAUAAGUAAAUAAAGAGAUAGAACUCAUGUACCAAAUCCUGAAAAA